AGCCACCAUGCAACCCUCUAAUUAUCUUUGAACUGAGUGACUUGAUUAGCCAGUUCAGUGGGCAUUUGUAAUUUAAACAUAUUACUGUUGCUGUGGAGUCACACGCAGGCCAGACCAGUUAAGGAAGUCUUAGCUGUCUUUAAACACCAUUAGUGAAUGAGGUUGUAUUUUACAACAGUGAGUGAUAGUUUCUGGUCGAGGUUUCAGUUCUGGCUCUGACUAAUGAAUUGAACUUAAAUUCCUCCAGCUGCUGUGUCCCAACAUAUUAGCUUGUACCCAGUGACAUUACAUUGGUCCAUUGACGAGAUCAAGCUACCAUCAGCAAUGACUUUGAAUCUGUGGGUAGAGGGUCAGCCAAUCUGACCGGCAGUUCAGUACUGGCGAUGAAACUGUUUGGUUGGAAGUUCGAUGAUUUUGACCCUGCAAUGAAGGAAGGCCAAGUCUGGAAGGUGUGUGAAUUGGUGGGGAAACUCAUGGCGAUGACAUUCCCAUGUACUUUCUGCAUGGUCUUCUGGGUGGUGUGAUGCAUUAGCUGUAAGGAAGUGUUUAAAUCUCCAUGGGAUUCAUUGGAAACAGACCCUGAUUGCUACUUCAGUCGAGAGAAAAAAAAAAGAGAAUUUCAGUGUUAAUACACACUAAGUGAGAGUUCAGGAGCACAAACUUGUUUUCAGGGGUUAUAUUUAAAUUCAAACCAUGUAUCCAGUUAAAGAAUGGGAAGGUGUAAUGGACAAGGGAGAGGGCGAGAGAGAGCAGUUGAAUCCCUUUAUUUUCUUCCCCUUCUAUCCAUAAACAUUGAUUUAAGUUUGAACCAGCUGUGGUGAAUUUCCUUGAUGCUGGCCAUCAAAGGAUAAUGGUGGGCAGGGGGCUCUUUGAUAAGUUGUUCUUGUUAAUGAAGGAGUUUCUGGCUUUCAGGCCAAAUCCAUUGAGCAUGUGCUUGGAGAUGGAGAGUUGUUUUCAGCGUCUCUGUAGACACAAUACAUCUUUGGUUCAAAGCUUUCACUGUCUUCAUAUGAUGACAGGAGAGAAAUUCCACAAGGGUAGCCUGUCUAGUUAUGUGUCUCUGCAAUCCACUUUUUGAAAUUGUAACCAAGUUGUAAAUCACUUGAUCUGUGGCAGACAUUUUAGAGGCUGAGCAAAGUCAGUCCUUCUGAAUGAAAUGAAAGUAGAGAUUUAAAAAAUUAUGUCUGGCUAAGAAGGAAGAAGACAAUAUAUUUCUUGACAGGUUUUGAAAGCUAUUCAGGAAUGACUGAAUUGGUCAAAGAGGAUGCUUUGUAAGGAACUCCAGAAUUUAUAUUUCAAGGUGAAAUUACUGAAACUUGGCAGUGAAUGUGGUGAUCAGAAGAGGCUGUACCAGGUAAGCUGAAGAUCCAGACUCCACAAUCACUGGUUUCUUAACAAAGUAAUGAAAUGACCAGCUGUUCCAACUGAUGAAAUUUUAUGGGGACAGACUUAAACAGGUGAUUGAAGAAGGGGUGGAUGGAGUCAGCUCAUUGUUAACAUGAGAGGAUUUUCAGCGGAAAACGAUGUUUGGUUCUGAUCCAGUUCAUGAUAUGGAUAUCUUCCAAAGUUUAUCUGAAAUACCCAGUCACCUGAAAGAAUCCGGGAACAAUUGUCACCAGCAUUGCUGAAGGAUCAAACAAGGAAGAAGGUCCAAAAUCUCCCAAAGUGUUCGAAUGGACCCAGAUCCAACCUCCACAGUCACUGGGUUCUUAACCAAGUAUAGGAAUGACCAGCUGUUCCAGCUGAUGACAUUUUAUGGGGACAGACUUGAACAGGCGAUUGAAGAAGGGGUGGAUGGAGUCAGCUCAUUGUUAACAUGUGAGAGGAUUUUCAGUGGAAAAGAACAUUUGAGAAGAAGGAAGAGAAGUGACCUGAUCGAGGUUUACAAGAUAAAGCGAGAUAGAGUCACUAGCCAGAGAUUUUUCCCCAGUGCAGGAUUAACUGGCACGAGGGGGUCAUAGUUUUAAAAGAUUAGGCAGAGGGAAAGUCAGAGGAAGUUUCUUUCUGGAGAGAGUUGUGAAUGCAUGGAAUGCAUUGUCAGCGGUGGUGGUGGAAACAGAGCCUUUAGAGACAUUUAUGCGACUGCUGGACGUGCACAUGGAAAGCAGUGAAUUGAGGGUUUCAGUUAUUUUAUUUUACACUUAGAUUAAUCCUCGUCACCAUAUCGUGGGCCAAACUGCCUGUUAUAUGCUGUGCUUUUCUAUGUUCUAUGUUCUAUGAGUUGGUAUACUUGAGAAGAUGUAAUUAUUCGACACAGAAUGUGAGCAGAACAGAGAAACUGGUUUCGGGCUUAUGCCCGAAACGUCGAUUCUCCUGUUCCCUGGAUGCUGCCUGACCUGCUGCGCUGUUCCAGCAACACAUUUCAGCUUCGUUAGUAAAGGCACAAAACACGUCGAAGUGUUCUUUGUAAUGACUAACUGAGGAUCUGUUCAAUCACUGAGCCCCUCAUAGCUUGUUUUGAAAAGUGAACAAUUCCUUGUCUAAUUUACGAAAUGUCGAAAUUUUGCUUGUACAUUGAGUCAACAAAAAAAUGCAAAUUUCAAAUUGGGAAAUGUGACUUGUUGAUAGCAUUCUCUGCCUUCUAUCACAAAUAGUUUUUCAAUGUGUCUGUUAAUAUUUCAUGAAUAAAGUGCAUUGUGCUAAACAAAACAGACGGUUCAAUACUAGAAUUCCUGAAUACAACUGUUCCGAUCAAUUUAUGAUAAAAUAUACAACAGAGAAAAUAGAAAAGUACAGCAGAGAACAGGCCUUUUGGCCCACGAUGUUGUGCCGAGGUUUAAUCCUAAUGUCAAAUAUAAUAAAUUAACCUACGCACCCCUCAACUCACUGCUAUCCAUGUGCAUGUCCAGCAAUCGGUUAAAUGUCUGCAAUGACUCUGCUUGCACCACCGUAGCUGGCAAGGCAUUCCAUGCAUUCACAACUCUCUGCGUAAAGGACCUACCUCUGACGAUUCCUUUA